rnacentral:rRNA from 1 species
UAGCGGCGGACGGGUGCGUAACGCGUGGGUAAUCUGCCCUUGUCACUGGGAUAACACAUCGAAAGGUGUGCUAAUACCGGAUGAAAUACAGACCUGGCAUCGGGACUGUAUCAAAGUCAUGCGGACAAGGAUGAGCCUGCGUCUGAUUAGCUUGUUGGUGGGGUAAAAGCCUACCAAGGCGACGAUCAGUAGCCGACCUGAGAGGGUGAUCGGCCACACUGGAACUGAGACACGGUCCAGACUCCUACGGGAGGCAGCAGUGGGGAAUAUUGCACAAUGGGCGCAAGCCUGAUGCAGCAACGCCGCGUGAGUGAUGAAGGCCUUCGGGUCGUAAAACUCUGUCCUAAGGGAAGAUAAUGACGGUACCUUAGGAAGAAGCCCCGGAUAACUACGUGCCAGCA